UACAGAGGGGGCAAGCGUUUAUUCGGAAUUAUUGGGCGUAAAGGGCGCGUAGGCGGCAUCGCAAGUGGAAGGUGAAAUCCCUCGGCUUAACCGAGGAACUGCCCUCCAAGCUGCGUUGCUUGAGGCCGGGAGAGGUGAGUGGAAUUCCCAGUGUAGCGGUGAAAUGCGUAGAUAUUGGGAGGAACACCAGUGGCGAAGGCGGCUCACUGGACCGGUUCUGACGCUGAGGCGCGAAAGCGUGGGGAGCAAACGGG
rnacentral:rRNA from 1 species